UACAGAGGGGGCAAGCGUUAAUCGGAAUUACUGGGCGUAAAGCGCGCGUAGGCGGCUGUCUAAGUCGGGUGUGAAAGCCCCGGGCUCAACCUGGGAACUGCAUUCGAUACUGGACGGCUAGAGUAUGAGAGAGGGAGGUAGAAUUCCACGUGUAGCGGUGAAAUGCGUAGAUAUGUGGAGGAAUACCGGUGGCGAAGGCGGCCUCCUGGUUCAAUACUGACGCUGAGGUGCGAAAGCGUGGGGAGCAAACAGG
rnacentral:rRNA from 1 species